rnacentral:rRNA from 1 species
UACGUAGGGGCCUAGCGUUGUCCGGAUUUAUUGGGCGUAAAGAGCUCGUAGGCGGUUCGGUAAGUCAGGUGUGAAAUCUCCACGCUCAACGUGGAGGCGCCACCUGAAACUGCCGUGACUCGAGUCCGGUAGGGGAGUGUGGAAUUCCUGGUGUAGCGGUGAAAUGCGCAGAUAUCAGGAAGAACACCCGUGGCGAAAGCGGCUCUCUGGAACGGUACUGACGCUGAGACGCGAAAGCGUGGGGAGCGAACAGG